UACGGGGGGGGCAAGCGUUGUUCGGAAUUACUGGGCGUAAAGGGCGCGCAGGCGGCUGCUCAAGUCAGGCGUGAAAGGCCUGGGCUCAACCCGGGAAUUGCGCUUGAGACUGGGCUGGCUUGAGUGCGGGAGAGGAUGGUGGAAUUCCCAGUGUAGAGGUGAAAUUCGUAGAUAUUGGGAAGAACACCGGUGGCGAAGGCGGCCAUCUGGACCGCAACUGACGCUGAGGCGCGGAAGCGUGGGGAGCAAACAGG
rnacentral:rRNA from 1 species